AAUGGAAACUGGAAAAAUUAUCUUUUUUGCGACGGCUACCUUACUGCAGAUCAUAACAGAGAUUUCCUCUGCAGCCAUUCCAAGUACUUGCAUCAAGCCAUCCGCCCUCAGCAUCCUGCAAAAUCCAUGCGAUGAUCACGUGGACAAAGUGAAACCUGCUGCAGAAAAUAGAACACUGAGUCUGAUUGGUCAGCAGGCAGGAGACUUAAGAGUCCAUAUAAAGAGUGUUCUCGAUAUUGUAAAAAAGGAGCGCUAUCACUCGCCUAACCCUGAUCUGACCAUUCUUUUUCCGGAGUCGGUGCAGG